AAUAUCGAAAAAGAGUUAGUUUUGAAAAAAACUGUUUUGUAACGCGUAAUGGCACGUAAAAAAAAUCGCUGAGAAAAUUCUCAAAAGAAGCGUAAAUCCGACCGUGCAACCUCCACGUGGUAUGCUUUGGAUAACGCUAAUGCUGGCGAUCAAUCAAUCAUCAAUAAAAACGUUUGUCAAAAACUUUGUAUAUCUUAAAAACGAAAUAAAUUUUUUUUCAAUUUUUUUUUAAAUUUUCAAAAAAAAAAUUUCGAAAAUUUCGAAUUUUUGAAAAAAAAAUUUUUGAUUUUUUUUUUAUACUCAAUCUUCAAAAAUCUCAAAAUUGAGUAAAAAGUCGAAAAAAAUUAAAAAAUUGAAUUUGAAAAAGAUUAGGUCAAAUUUAAGAAACAAAAUCUUGUUCCCUUAAUUUUUUCAAAAUUUCAAUCAAUCGGUCCGGGUAAACCGCUGAACCGAUCGGUCUAAAAAUUUAAGGGGGUCUUGGGGGUACAUUAGACUAUAAAACUUUCUUCUAACCUAAGCUUUUGCCCCAAUAUUGUCGAAGACACAGUCGAUUAAUCAAAUAAGGAGAAAAUGGCAUUUUUUUUUGCUGUUUUUUUACGUUACCGUUUCAGGUGGAAACAAAUUUUUUUUUCAAUCAACCAUAACAGAUUUUUGUAGGAAAUUUUGUAAAGAAAACGAAACCGCCCGUCUACUUGCCAGGCGACCAGUAGUUUCAGAGAUAUCGGCAGUUGAGUGAAAAAGGAUCCUUUUGCAUUCAAAAUUCGAUAUCUCGAAGACAAAUGGUCGUAUCUGACUUCUGCAAAAAUCAAAUUGAAGCUGAAUUAACCAGCUAUGCGACCUAUACAUUGGUUUAGCUCGAAAAAUUUGUUUCAUGCCCGUAGAGCGAAAACAAAAAUGAAAAACAUUUUGAAAAUAUUUUUUUCGUGCUUUAUCCAAGAAUUUCAUGGCUACUGGGGCUCAAAAAAAUUUUUAACCAAAAAAUUCUUAAACUAGAGUCUUCAGGCUUCAAAAUCAAGGUUUUUUUUAUUUCCUGUACGACCAUUUUUCACUGAAAUGCAGCCUGUUGAAAAUUGGCAAAAAAUUUGCAAAAUUUUUUUGUUACUUCAAUUUAUGCGAGAAGUAUAUAAUACUUCUUAUAAAAUUCAGUAUCAUUAUAAGAGCUAAAACCUAAUAGAAAAUUAGAUUAUAUAUUCCGGGUGACAUUUACAGCUGCAUUUGAAUUAUUCCUUUGAUAAAAAGAAAAAGGCGAUUAUUGAAGCCAACUAAUUAUUUAACCACAUAUUAUAUUAUUACUAAUAAAAUUCAAGUUGCCAAUAAUUUCAACAAAUUGACAUGUUUUAUGAAGUUUAGUUUAGAUUCGAAGUUUUUAUUAAGUCAAGUAGAUUUCCUAAUAAUUUUCGAUACGGUUAUAGAACGAGCCAAAUAUAUAUUUAAUGUAUAUUUUUAGGGUGAAUUUCCAUACCCUAGCACUUCUUCAUGGACUAAUUCUGAGUUGGGUAUACCAGCGGCGAAAGAAUAAAGGAGAGAGUAUUCAUACUUCAGAAGUGUUGUUAAGCUGAAUAUUACAGUUAGAUGGAAUGUAAAAUUAAAAAUGUAUAAAAUUUCAAAAAUAACGAA